rnacentral:sRNA from 1 species
UAGAGGCAGUGGAGACAGGAACAGAGCCAAGGCGGCGGAGGUGGGAGGCGGGAGAGAAACCAGCCA